UAGAUUAGAUAUUCAAGAAUUAUACUAAAAGUAUUACUACACGUUGCAAGAGAAAAAAUAUAUUUUAAACCGUUGGUCAAAAUAUUUGUUAUAUUAAAAUUUUCUUCUGGAAGUCUCGCCUUAUAAGAUCACCAAUCAACCUUAAUAUUA